rnacentral:rRNA from 1 species
UACAGAGGUCCCAAGCGUUGUUCGGAUUCAUUGGGCGUAAAGGGUGCGUAGGUGGCGCCAUAAGUCAGGUGUGAAAUCUCGGGGCUUAACUCCGAAACUGCAUUUGAUACUGUGGUGCUUGAGGACUGGAGAGGAGACUGGAAUUUACGGUGUAGCAGUGAAAUGCGUAGAGAUCGUAAGGAAGACCAGUGGCGAAGGCGGGUCUCUGGACAGUUCCUGACACUGAGGCACGAAGGCCAGGGGAGCAAACGGG